GACGAACGCUGGCGGCGUGCUUAACACAUGCCAGUCGAACGGUGAAGCGCCUUCCUUUUUGGUGGGUGUGGAUGAGUGGCGAACGGGUGAGUAACACGUGAGUAACCUGCCCCCUUCUUCUGGAUAACCGCAUGAAAGUGUGGCUAAUACGGGAUAUUCUGGGUCUGUCGCAUGAUGGGUCUGGGAAAGAUAUUGUUUCGGUGGGGGAUGGGCUCGCGGCCUAUCAGCUUGUUGGUGGGGUGAUGGCCUACCAAGGCGGUGACAGGUAGCCGGCCUGAGAGGGUGGACGGUCACACUGGGACUGAGACACGGCCCAGACUCCUACGGGAGGCAGCAGUGGGGAAUAUUGCACAAUGGGCGCAAGCCUGAUGCAGCGACGCCGCGUGAGGGAUGGAGGCCUUCGGGUUGUGAACCUCUUUCGCCAGUGAAGCAGGCCUGCCUCGUUUGUGGGUGGGUUGACGGUAGCUGGAUAAGAAGCGCCGGCUAACUACGUG
rnacentral:rRNA from 1 species